rnacentral:rRNA from 1 species
ACGUAGGGUGCGAGCGUUGUCCGGAUUUAUUGGGCGUAAAGAGCUCGUAGGCGGCUCGUCGCGUCGACCGUGAAAGCCCGGGGCUUAACUCCGGGUCUGCAUUCGAUACGGGCAGGCUAGAGUUCGGUAGGGGAGAUCGGAAUUCCUGGUGUAGCGGUGAAAUGCGCAGAUAUCAGGAGGAACACCGGUGGCGAAGGCGGAUCUCUGGGCCGAUACUGACGCUGAGGAGCGAAAGCGUGGGGAGCGAACAGGA